rnacentral:rRNA from 1 species
GACGAACGCUGGCGGCGUGCUUAACACAUGCAAGUCGAACGGUGACGAGGAGCUUGCUCCUCUGAUCAGUGGCGAACGGGUGAGUAACACGUGAGCAACCUGCCCAGACUCUGGGAUAACAGUUGGAAACAGCUGCUAAUACCGGAUACGAGACGGAGAGGCAUCUCUACCGUCUGGAAAGUUUUUCGGUCUGGGAUGGACUCGCGGCCUAUCAGCUAGUUGGUGAGGUAAUGGCUCACCAAGGCGACGACGGGUAGCCGGCCUGAGAGGGCGACCGGCCACACUGGGACUGAGACACGGCCCAGACUCCUACGGGAGGCAGCAGUGGGGAAUAUUGCACAAUGGGCGAAAGCCUGAUGCAGCGACGCCGCGUGAGGGAUGAAGGCCUUCGGUUGUAAACCUCUUUCUAGCAGGGAAGAAGCGAAGUGACGGUACCUGCAGAAGAAGCACCGGCUAACUACGUAGCCAGCAG